rnacentral:rRNA from 1 species
CGAACGGGUGAGUAAUGCGUGACCAACCUGCCCCAUGCUCCAGAAUAGCUCUUGGAAACGGGUGGUAAUGCUGGAUGCUCCAACUUGACGCAUGUCUUGUUGGGAAAGUGUUUAGUGGCAUGGGAUGGGGUCGCGUCCUAUCAGCUUGUAGGCGGGUUAAUGGCCCACCUAGGCUUCGACGGGUAGCCGGCCUGAGAGGGCGGACGGCCACAUUGGGACUGAGAUACGGCCCAGACUCCUACGGGAGGCAGCAGGA